AACAACAGAACCAUAUUAAUCAAGUCUCUACCUGAGAGGAACAAGUGAUUGUCCUCAACAACAGAACCAUAUUAAUCAAGUCUCUACCUGAGAGGAACAAGUGAUUGUCCUCAACAACAGAACUCUUUAAGGACUGCUACAGGUCCACUCCACAGGUACUGCUCUAUAAAAGGACUGCUAAAGGUCCACUCCACAGGUACUGCUCUAUAAGGACUGCUACAGGUCCACUCCACAGGUACUGCUCUAUAAGGACUGCUACAGGUCCACUCCACAGGUACUGCUCUAUAAGAACUGCUAAAGGUCCACUCCACAGGUACUGCUCUAUAAGGANNNNNNNNNNCUCUGUGCUUCAUCAGAGGCCAAAUCAGCCUCCAGCAGUAAGAGCAUCACCUCUGUCUACCAGUAACAUUGUUUACACAUAAUGGCCACAUUGAUUUCUACUUUGCUCCAUUCCUGUAAUUUGUUUAAGGGGAGAAUGUAGAGGGGAAACACGCUGAUAAUGGAGGUAGAAGAGAGAGAGAAAAGGCCAGAUACAUGUCCACACACGUACUGUACGUGAAGACACACACAUACACACAAAGGCACACACAGAGAAACACACACACACACACAGACAGACAGACACACACACACACACGCUCAUCAGUAAUCUGUGGGCUCCCUGUUCAACUCAUCUGCUGAUUUCACCACGGUAACAACAUCGCUCUCGCUCUCUAUUUCUCUCUACCUCCGUCGGAGGAAAGGAGAGAGAGAUGAGCAGCAGGCGACGGGUCUCUACCUCAGAGAGAUGAACAAGUGAUUGUCCUCAACAACAGAACCAUAUUAAUCAAGUCUCUACCUGAGAGGAACAAGUGAUUGUCCUCAACAACAGAACCAUAUUAAUCAAGUCUCUACCUGAGAGGAACAAGUGAUUGUCCUCAACAACAGAACUCUUUAAGGACUGCUACAGGUCCACUCCACAGGUACUGCUCUAUAAAAGGACUGCUAAAGGUCCACUCCACAGGUACUGCUCUAUAAGGACUGCUACAGGUCCACUCCACAGGUACUGCUCUAUAAAAGGACUGCUAAAGGUCCACUCCACAGGUACUGCUCUAUAAAAGGACUGCUAAAGGUCCACUCCACAGGUACUGCUCUAUAAGGACUGCUACAGGUCCACUCCACAGGUACUGCUCUAUAAGAACUGCUAAAGGUCCACUCCACAGGUACUGCUCUAUAAGGA
rnacentral:lncRNA from 13 species